rnacentral:rRNA from 1 species
UCCUGGCUCAGGAUGAACGCUAGCGACAGGCCUAACACAUGCAAGUCGAGGGGCAGCACAGGGGUAGCUUGCUACUUUGGGUGGCGACCGGCGCACGGGUGCGUAACAGGUGUGCAAUCUGUCCAUAAUCGGGGAAUAGCCCAGCGAAAGUUGGAUUAAUGCUCCAUGUGAGUAAGAGAGGCAUCUCUUUAUUUGAAACGUAAGGAUUAUGGGUGAGCACGCUUCUGAUUAGGUAGUUGGUGAGGUAACGGCUCACCAAGCCGACGAUCAGUAGGGGUUCUGAGAGGAAGGUCCCCCACAUUGGAACUGAGACACGGUCCAAACUCCUACGGGAGGCAGCAGUGAGGAAUAUUGGUCAAUGGACGGAAGUCUGAACCAGCCAAGUCGCGUGAAGGAUGAAGGUUCUAUGGAUUGUAAACUUCUUUUGUCUGAGGGUAAAAAAGCGGACGUGUCCGUUCUUGCAAGUAUCAGACGAAUAAGCAUCGGCUAACUCCGUG